rnacentral:lncRNA from 1 species
GCCACUUUAUAAAGCAAAUAAAAAUAUUUACUGAUUUGGUACACUCACAUGGAAAACCCCUAGAAAGAGUACUAAAAAUGAAUGGAAACUCCAUACAGGGCAGCUAUUUUAAAUUACAUAUCAAAACAGACAGAAACACCUUCCGUGCUUGUUUGUGUUACAAAAAUCAAGUCAAAAACAGGCAACAAGCUGGAGAAGUGGAAACGUUCUGCUUCAAAGUCCAAAAAUUUCCUGUUUUCCCCUAUGAGAAAUCCAAAGAAGCAUCGGAGCAGCGCUGCUGGACACGUCCUUAACCCCGGUGCGCUCCACACUGCCUGCUGUGCCCUCCCCGAGUUCAUCAAAUCUGAUUUCUAUGCAUUCUUUACAACUCCGUGUCUGUUUUCAGGCUCUUGUGUGUGAAGUAGAGGAUGGCUGCGGCUCGCAUUGACAGGCACGGUGCGGCACAGCUUGGGGAUGCCAUGAGGACAAAACAGCGCUCCCACCUCGGCUCACGGGUUUGCAGAUGGAGGCGACUCGUGGUUCACAGCGACAAAACAUAAUCGGUUCGGUAAGAAAUGUACACAUUUAAAACAAGCAGAGUUUAAAAACUACAGGGAGGUUUCUGAACAAUUUCGUUUCUUCCCCUCCUUUCCCCAGUUAAUAAAAACAAAAACAAAACCCAGAGGUUUUCUGCGCUUGGGAGAGCGGAGCUAAUUCCAGCUGUAUCUGCCCGAGGGUGGGGGCAGCAGGUAGGGCCUCCCGGGGCCGUAUGCCUGCCUUCCCCGGUCCAUCCGAUCCUCAGGUCUCUGUGGGUAGCUCAUGGGCCCGCCCAGUCCCUGGUACUGGCCCGGUGGGUACUGACUUUGGGCUGGCAGCAUGCGGUUCCAGGCGAGCAGUGGGGCGGCCCCAGCAGUUCUUUGUGGUGCUUGCUGAAACAAGGGCGUAGGGCCUCGCCAAGACUCCUGGGGUCUAAGAUUUGACAGCAAUUUAGGAAUCUGCUGCUGCCCACUCAUAAGCGGCCGGGUGUAUGGGCUCCCAUAAG